CAGAUAGCCUGCCUCUGCGGUAUCCGGGCGGAGAACGAGACGAUGAAGGAGGUCAACCGAGUGUUGCAGUCGGAGAUGGAGCGGGUGCGCCGAGAGAUGAGAAGUUUAGAAGACGACAUCAAUGACAAGAGUAACUCUCUUUGUAAUGUUAAAAACGAAGUCACAAAGCUGAAAAAUGAAAAUAAUAUGAUGAUGGAAGAGUUGGAAAACCUGCGGCAAGAAUUGGGAGACUUGGAGUCCGACCGGGAAACUAAG